rnacentral:rRNA from 1 species
GUUAUCCUACGGGAGGCAGCAGUAAGGGAUAUUGGUCAAUGGGGGAAACCCUGAACCAGCAACGCCGCGUGAGGGAAGACGGUUUUCGGAUUGUAAACCUCUGUCCUCUGUGAAGAUGAUGACGGUAGCAGAGGAGGAAGCUCCGGCUAACUACGUGCCAGCAGCCGCGGUAAUACGGAGGAUGCGAGCGUUAUCCGGAUUUAUUGGGUUUAAAGGGUGCGCAGGCGGAAUGUCAAGUCAGCGGUAAAAUUUCGGGGCUCAACCCCGUCGUGCCGUUGAAACUGGCGUUCUUGAGUGAGCGAGAA